rnacentral:rRNA from 1 species
UUGAUCUCAAAUCAGGUAGGACUACCCGCUGAACUUAAGCAUAUCAAUAAGCGGAGGAAAAGAAACUAACAAGGAUUCCCCUAGUAACUGCGAGUGAAGCGGGAAGAGCUCAAAUUUAAAAUCUGGCGUGCCUCUGGCCGUCC